UGGAAUUGUGCAAGAGAAAUUCAGCCUAUGGAGUUAUUCGCAGCCAUUGUGUUUGUGCCCUGUUGACAUUACUUUUUUUUUUUUCUCUGCAAAAUAUUGGAAAUCAUUUUCCCUGAUGGAACUGAUGGGAAACAACGAGUGAAUCCCAGGAGAGACAGGGGAUUUGCCUUGAAAAAAACAAAUCAAACCCAAUGAGAAUUGAAGUACAGAAUGUGGGAAAAGCUGAGCGUGCACUGCCUAUCUACCAAUUUCCUGACAAACGAGAGACUGUGCUCUGGAGUCAUUAUUUAUCAGACAAAGGCUGUGAAAACAGCAAGUGGCACAAUAGCUGACACGGAGGUGUCUGUUCUGCUUUAGUCUGUAAUGCAUCUUUCGAGGCACAGGGCUCCAAAGAACUCCUCCUGCUGUAGGUAUUUGAGAGAUCAAAGCCAGCACCUAUCAAACGUGCUAAUGGAAACACCUCAAAGCCAGUUUAGUGCGUAAGUACCCUUCAGCUAACAAUAGUUUCCAUGUAGAAUGCC